AUUGAACGCUGGCGGCAGGCCUAACACAUGCAAGUCGAGCGAGCGGCGGACGGGUGAGUAAUGUCUGGGAAACUGCCUGAUGGAGGGGGAUAACUACUGGAAACGGUAGCUAAUACCGCAUACCAUCAGAUGUGCCCAGAUGGGAUUAGCUAGUAGGUGGGGUAACGGCUCACCUAGGCGACGAUCCCUAGCUGGUCUGAGAGGAAGACCAGCCACACUGGAACUGAGACACGGUCCAGACUCCUACGGGAGGCAGCCGUGGGGAAUAUUGUAUAGUGGUCGCAAUGCUGAUGCCGCCAUGCCGCGUGUGUGAAGAAGGCCUUCGGGUUGUAAAGCACUUUCAGCGGGGAGGCGUUACCCGCAGAAGAAGCACCGGCUAACUCCGUGCCAGCAGCCGCGGUAAUUC
rnacentral:rRNA from 1 species